CGAUCAGAAGGUAUCGGAGCUCCUGACACGAAAGUAACGACGUCUGAGCGAAGAACAGAUAACCUCCUCCUUCCUGUCUGUGGCGGCGUGAGUGGAGUUUUGGGGCGAGUGCGGCUGAAGAGGAGUGAGUGUGUGCGGAGGAGGAAGCGUGUGUGUGGAUUACCCCUUCUCCCUGGAGCCCUGGAGCCCCCGCCAUGCUUCCAGAGAGGAGCUGAUGUUAAUGCUUUUAAAGCGUACAUUUGAUACAUUUGUAAUGUAAGCUAAUGACGCCAUGCCUGGGAUUACCGUAAUUACAUAAUAUCACUUAAACAAGUUGCUGCUUUCAGGAACCAUUGGAAUUCUUUCAACUGAGCAAAUGGUUCAGAAGUUGCGGGAGUUACCGAUGUUAAAAAAAAAACUUUGCAAACACCUGUAUGACGCCAGCGACAGGUGAGGCUUUAGAGGGUUAAAACAUCAUAUCAACCCCGACUCAUAUCUUGCAUCAGGUUCUUUUAAUGGGUCACAUGAUAGGGUGAGGCAAGGUGGCACAUAUUCAAUUAUGGUUAAUUACAGUCUUAAGGGAGAACUCCCGCUAAUAUUUAAAUAAAUGGGACUCUCCACCUUUUGGUUUUAGAACUGAAGUAGCUUUUCAAAUUUCCAGGCUCCUUAAACUAGGACUCUAUAGCUUAUUUCUCUUAAUAAAUGAAUUCAUAAUUUAAAAACUGCAUUUGGUGUUUACCUCAGUUUUCUUUGUCAAGUAUUAAAAUCUUUUUGAUGAUCAGAAACAUGGAAAUGUGAAAAGUGUCAGAAACUAAGAAAUCAGGAAGAGGGGAAAAUACUGUUUCAAAAGGCAGUUUAAAUGAAAAAUGGUAUGACUACUCCAAUUAUAUUGUUAUAUUUUAAAUGUAGUAUUGAUAGUAGUUAGUUGAACCUAGGAUACAGGAGGGUUAAUGUGAUCAGUCAGUCACUGUUCACUGCACAGUCCACUGGAGAAACCAAAUGAGAAAUAAGAAACCUUUGGAACCAUUUUCAUAAAAUCAUCCACUCAUCAGGGGGCACUAGUUUUUGCUGGUACUCCAUCAAGGUAAUGGUAAUCAAGGUAAUCUGCAGUAAUCCUCUUAUCCAGUCGGUUAGAAAACAGAAGAAUAAUGGGUCCAUCAUGUAGUGGUUUACAUUACACACACAUCCUAUGCAAAGAUCUGCCAAAUGAAACAUUUAGGAAGAGAGAAAAAUAUUUUUGUUAUUAUUAUUCAUAGAUCUAUAAAACAUUGUUACGCCCUUUGCA
rnacentral:lncRNA from 1 species